rnacentral:rRNA from 1 species
GCCAGCGGAGACGCAGGUGUGCCUUCGGGAGCUCUGAGACAGGUGCUGCAUGGCUGUCGUCAGCUCGUGUUGUGAAAUGUUGGGUUAAGUCCCGCAACGAGCGCAACCCUUAUCCUUGUUUGCCAGCGAGUAAUGUCGGGAACUCCAGGGAGACUGCCGGUGAUAAACCGGAGGAAGGUGGGGACGACGUCAAGUCAUCAUGGCCCUUACGAGUAGGGCUACACACGUGCUACAAUGGCGCAUACAGAGGGCAGCAAGCCAGCGAUGGUGAGCGAAUCCCAAAAAGUG